rnacentral:lncRNA from 1 species
CAUGGGAAAGCCUCCCCUCCUGUGGCCAAUAAUCCACACCCGCGACUGCUGAAAAUCAGUCACAUUUCUUCACUAACUUCAUGUCCCAAAAAAUUUUUAAUGGAUCUUCUACUUGGAUCAGAAGCCUUGUCAUCAAACUGUUCCAUCAUUCCAUCAAAAAGUCUUCUGUCAUUACUGAAAAGCAUGUUCAAAGUUGACUCUUCAGAUGCACCUUGUCUUCUUACCUAACCACUCUGCAACCUUGUUACCUUGUUCACCCUCUGCCUUGGUACUGCCCUCCUUAAAGCAGGCUGCCUGCCAUGUCUGUGUUGUUAAGAAGAGAAAUGGGAAGUAUUCACAGAUUAACUGCAGGGAGGUCAAUAAACAGACAUUGGACCAGGAAACAGCUGGAGAACGUGAUAGUCACACCUGCUGCAUUGGAUCUGUCGCACAGGUUGUGAACUUUGACAGCAAAUGGCUUAUUUCAUAUGUAUUUGUGCAGCACAUCUCAUCAUGAGGGGCUUGAUCUGGGGUUUAGUGGAUAUAACUGUGUCUUGGAAACUCAGAGCAGCCUGCAGAUAUCAACUAAUGAAAUGCCUCCACAACAUUUAUAUGCAGAGUUGAUAACAAUGUGUUCACCACACACUGGCUUUGGAAAUGCCUUGGAAAUUGAAUAGAGCUUUAUUUAAAGGGUAAGAGAAGUAAUAAUCAUGAGCUGACAAUGAACAACAUACAAGGCAGGUGUUACCACCACCUUACACGUGUAGCAGACAUCCCUUUCCUCAGGAUGUUACAAGCUGGAGUGCUAUUUUAAUCAGCUAAAACUGUUGUGUGGAAUGUAGAAAAGCAUGAUUUUGUUAUCAAAACUGUUCUGAACAAGCUGGAGUGAAAAAUCAGCUUAAAAAAAUUAUCAUAAAUCUUAUUUAAAAAACAGUUUUGGAUUACAUGAUUUUUAAUUGUUUCAACAGUUCUGGUCAAUGCCUUAGCUUUGAAGGGAGACAUGAGGCAAUGGAAAGCACUCUGAGUUGCAGGCAGAUGCCAGCCACUGCAGUGGACAUUCCUGUUCUCUGAAGUGGUGCUCAAGUCGAGUAGGAAGAAUGAACCAAGCAAUGGCUCUGUCAGCCAAUUUGACUCCAACUGGGAAUUUCAAUGGAAUGAGUGCACUUCUAUGCAAUAUUGAUCUCACUUAAGCAGCCCUUUCUGAUGGGCAUCCUUUCUACUGAAAUGUGCUUGCACCGUCCCAUAGUUCUCUCCCUUGGACCCUGCCAUGGCUAAGGCUGUAUGGUCAUUGCAGUGGCCAUCUUCUCUUAUUCCAACAGCAUAUGUAGGAAGUUACCUGAAGCAAAUAGAUGAAUAAAGAAAAAUUAUCAAGGUGUGGUGGGCUAAUA